CCCUUAGAUGUUCUGGGCCGCACGCGUGCUACACUGAACGGUUCAAUGGGUGAGGUAGUGCGAAAGCAUGACCCAAUCUCUAAAUCCGUUCGUGCUGGGGAUAGAAGCUUGCAAUUAUCCUUCUUGAACGAGGAAUACCUUGUAGGCGUGAGUCAUCAUCUCGCGCCGAAUACGUCCCUGCCCUUUGUACACACCGCCCGUCGCUCCUACCGAUUGAGUGGUCCGGUGAGGCUUUGGGAUCUGAGCGGAAAGAGCGUUUCGCUGUUUCUGCUCGGAAAACUCAGUCGAACCUUAUCAUUUAGAGGAAGGAGAAGUCGUAACA
rnacentral:rRNA from 1 species